GGAGCUUGCUUUUGCAAUUUUGAAAUAAUUUGUGCUUAGUACAAUUGUUAGUACAAUUGUUCUGACUUGAAUUUAAUUGCAAAAAAGGAGAGGAACACAGAAAAAAGUUUGGUCUCUUAGCUUGAUAGGUUGAAAAAUAUUCUAACAGACAUGGAAUAAUAAUGACAAUGGAAAUAACUUUCAAAUAGAACAAACAACAUUAUUCUUACCUUGGUCUGGUUAUUGUUUCUAGCAGAAUUCUGAUUCUGAAAAAAAAGAAAGUUGAAAGACUUUGUGUAUGUGUGUGUAAACCUGGUGUGGUUUAGCAUGUAAAAACAACAUUUUGCAUUUAGAGCAAUGCAUGAAACUCACUAAGGGGAUACUACAAGUCGGUUUAACAUCUUGAGAUAACUAGGAGUAGAGUUAGAUUCAUCAGUAUAUGGGUAGAUAACUAGGAGUAGAGGUAGAUUCAUCAGUAUAUGGGUAUAUAACUAGGAGUAGAGUUAGAAUCAUCAGAAUAUUGGUUGAGUAGAUAACUAGGAGUAGAGGUAGAUUCAUCAGUAUAUGGGUAUAUAACUAGGAGUAGAGGUAGAUUCAUCAGUAUAUGGGUAUAUAACUAGAAGUAGAGCUAGAUUCAUCAGUAUAUGGGUAUAUAACUAGGAGUACAGUUAGAUUCAUCAGUAUAUGGGUAUAUUACUAGGAGUAGAGGUAGAUUCAUCAGCAUAUGGGUAUAUAACUAGGAGUAGAGUUAGAUUCAUCAGUAUAUGGGUAUAUAACUAGGAGUAGAGUUAGAUUCAUCAUUGUAUAGGUAGAUAACUAGUAAGUAGAGUUAGAUUAAUCAUUAUAUAGGUUGAUAGACAGCAGUAGAGUUAGAUUCAUCAGAAUAUUGGUAGAAAAACUAGGAGUAGAGUUAGAUUCAUCAGUAUUAUGGGUAUAUAACUAGGAGUAGAGGUAGAUUCAUCAGUAUAUUGGGUAUAUAACUAGGAGUAGAUGUAGAUUCAUCAGUAUAUUGGUUGAGUAGAUAACCAGGUGUAGAGUUAGAUUCAUCAUUAUAUAGGUAGAUAAACAGGAGUAGAGUUAGAUUAAUCAGUAUAUUGGUAGAAAAACUAGGAGUAGAGUUAGAUUCAUCAGUAUAUAGGGAGAUAACUACGAGUAGAGUUAGAUUAAUCAGUAUAUAGGGAGAUAACUACGAGUAGAGUUAGAUUCAUCAGUAUAUAGGGAGAUAACUACGAAUAGAGUUAGGACAAUCAGUAAACAGGUAGCUGGCUACAAGGAGAGUUAGAUCAAUCAGUCAGAAUACAGGUAGAUGGGUAGGAUUAGAGUUAGAUGUUGGUAGAUUGAGUAAAAAGUCAGGAAUGUCUAAUUUCAGAGUGAGACAGAUAAAUGGGAAAAUUCACACACAUUUCUAGCUAACAACAUAGCAGCUAUUCACAAUAUUAUUUACAAAAUAAUAAUGAAAUCCUACCUUCGGCUUUAUAGUAUUCAAAGCUGCUUUGUAAUGAGCAUCGUUCUUUUCUAUUGUCCCACCAAGCCAGCUUUUCACGUUUUGUACCUCCCGCUGUACUUGGAAACCUCUGCCUUCAAGUUUAACUGCCCAUUGGUCAAUUAGCUUCUUACUGCUGUUUUGGUACAUAGCUUUGUAAUUCUUCAUCGCCUGUGUAUUCACCAGAGUGUUAUUCCGGAGACACAUUAGGUCUGGUGAGGCAGCCAGGACAGACAUCUUUAAAAAGCCCUCCACAUCAUUACUGCUAAUGUAUUGAGCUUGUAGAGUUCUAAAUUCUUUUAAAUUGGUGAGGCAACUCCUGUGUAAUUGAUCAGGCAGUGUGACAGUUAUAAGGUGCUGUCCAUGCUGUUUUUUCAGAUUCUUUAGGGAGUCACUGGUGAACGGUUUAUUGGUUCCUAUCUCUAUCAGUGACUUUGCCAGGUUGCUUUCAGGAUCCAUUUUGUAAGCAAGUAAGAUACUGUCAACUGCUGGCUGGUGGUCAGCAUGGAUAUUUUUACUAACACUGACACCUUGCAGUAGUUUCCGGUUGUUAUAGUAGGUAUCAACCAAACCCCAAUUUUCUGGGUUAUCCAUCCCCCCUUUUGCCAUGAACCAGCUGCCUCCCCGUAUCUCCAGUGCCCUCUGUCUGCACUUGAUAAGCGGCACCCACUUGUUCGGCUCCUUCAGGACCAUAUCUGCCCCUUGCUGCCUCAGCUGGGAGGCCCUGGAGUGGAUCUGUUCAUCAGAGGCAUCAGGGUCUAAGCCACGAGCGAACGCCUGGAACAUGCAAUUGUUCCCCUCGCCAGAGACCGGCACAACCUGGUCAUUGUGCAGAGCGUCGUAGUGACCCUGGGGAUAACGCUCACUACUGGGAUGGUACAGUAGGUUCACACUGCCCUGAUUGGAGCUCUGGCUGGGAUGAACCACAGACAUUUUCAUUUUCUGUCCUUGCCUGUUUGUGAUGUAAAUAACAACAGUCUUCCCGCUUUCUUCAGCCAGUAACCUGGCCUCCAGGAUGGUGGCUGGAUUGUAAUCAUGAGGGAAUGUGCUUUGCGGCCUCAUUUCCUCUGCGUAUGUUUCUGCCAAACGUUGAUCUUCCACUUUUGAAAGUUUAUUGGAUUUCCUUCUUAGUGGGGCAUUGGCUAUGUAACUGCUGUUCAGGCCUCCUACCAGCUUCUCUUUUGUCCUAUCAGUCAUCAGACGUUUGGAAAUGAACCCACCAAUGUAGCCAUUUAUUUGUUCUUGAGCGAGCCCAACCAAGUGGCUGGAGAAUUUCUGGUGAAAAACCUGGAAUACUGUUUCAGCCAGACAAGAAGCCAUCACUUCGGCCACCUCUGUUUUAAAUGCAUUUAAUUUCACCAUGUCAUUGCCACAAAUAUUUUUUCUUUUCUCUUCUAUUUUACUUUCAUCUGUUCCUCUCUUUCCAUAAAGCUCUUUCACUCUUUUCUGCAGCUCCUCCAAGAAUGCACUGUUGAAUUCAUUGGCAACUUCUUUGGCUGAAUAAAUUGCAUCGACACAGAGACCUCCCAUGUGAGCUGCCUGAAUUGCUUUACAAACUGCUCUCAUCUUUCCAUUAUUCUCCUGUGCAACUCUUUUAAUGACACUCUGAAGGGAUGAAUGCAGACGAUUUUGCCAGCCCAGGCCUGCACAGUGAGACCUCAGAACCUUUUCACAGAUAUCUGUAAAAAUCCUUUUCAUCCGUGAUCUUUUCUCUGGUUCAUCUAGAAGGUCACUGAGGUAUCCUUGCUCUUCAAUGUGCACAAGCACCAUCCUGUCGACCAAGGGUCCCAUUGGUUGGCAGCCAAUACUGUCUUUACACUUGUCCAAGACUGUGGUUUUGACAACUUCUUUAAUUUCAUUAGUGAUUUCAUCAAUAAUUUUCUCCUCUACUUUUCCCACUCCAUACAUUACAGUUUGCUGGACAACCUCCUUCCCAACAUAUUUCAAAGUGUUUUUCACAUUUUCUCUCAUGACUGCCUGCAGUCCACCCUUGGCCUGGUUAGAGAUUAGUUUCGGAAGAGAGGUGAGCUUUUUUCCAAAGCCACUAAUGGCAUUUUUGCUGGCUCUCCAGCCCUUGGAGAUCAGUUUUCCCACUCCAAAGCCAAUGAGUGAGACAGCCAGGGACACAGCUUUGCUGAUAGCCCAGGAGGCCCAGCUGAAAGUUCCUGUGAUCAUGGCUUCCACACCAGUGAUGCAGUCUGAUAUCCCAUCACUGAUGUACUGGAACCCCACUUGUAGCAGCACCCCACCAGUGAAUGCAGUGAGGAGGACCCCCCCCACAAUCUGAGCCACCCCCAGGAAGAAUACAGCUAGGCCUUUCCAGCAGAAUCUGGGCUUCUGCUUCACUGAAAACACCAUCUCCAUACCCAGCUUGUAAAACUCAUACAGCUCUUGGUGAACAUCGUCAUUGGGAUCCUCGACCAGAUUGAAGACAGAGCUUUCAUCAACAAGGGCUUCUUCUUUAUCCUGUUUGAUCAACUCAAGCUUCUCCAUUGCUCUGCUGAUGUUAUUGUGGAAGUAUGUGAGCACUUGUAUCCUGACCUGCAUCUGUUUCUGGAAGGCACUCUUGGUCUUCCCAGAGUCUCUAUCUGACAGGCUCACCAGUUGCUGGGUUAUUGUGCAUUGUUCUAAAAACAGUUCCACAGAAACCAAGGCCUUCUCCAAGUCUUUUGAUGCAUUUUCCAUACAGUCUUUUUGUUUUUGCCUCAGAGUGCAGUAAGCACGUUUAUAGAGCGCAAUAGCAGCCCAGCAUCUAUCCAGCUCUAUGGCACUACUGUACAGCUCUGCGCUCUCCUUCAGUUUAUUUUCACCGAGUAAUUUGUUUCCAAACUUGAUGAAAUGGUAGAUGCUAGAACAGGGAGAGAGGUUUUCUUGGGACUGCUGAUGGGCGCGUUUUAUAUCAGUCUCCAGGCUCUUCAUCAGCUGAGAUUUUUCCAACUUUUCAAUCUCAUCCGAUUUUCUCAGCAGCCAAAUCCCCCAGUACUCGUUCAGCACUGCCAAUGUCACCCUGCGCUUGCUGUUGUAGAUGUCUAAGUUGCCUAACGAUGAAUUGGAAAAGGGCUGGUAGAUCCCUUUGAGAAUCUGGCAAUAUUGGGAAAAGAGCUCCUCUCUGAGGGAGAUCUCAGGGAUAUCAUCCUGCAGGACACGGGAUACCUGAUCCAUGGCCAGUGAGUCUCUAGCUGCUCUGGCAUCCUGGAGUGUGGACGCAUUUCUCAGGGGCUCCUGCAGAUGUGCAGAGCAGAUGAUGAGCUGCGCCGAGCCAGGGCUCCCUUUCCUAGCCGUGCGCCCGAAAGCCUGCAUCUCCACUCGGGCGUUAUCAGGCAGGAAGGUGACGACUACAAACAGUCCCCCGGCCCCAUUCACCUCUUUGGAGACAAGCAGGUCUGUUCCACGACCUGCCAAGUUAGUGGCCACGAUCACAUCCCCAGGUCGGAGAAGCUGGCUUGUGAUGCUGGAGUUGUCCUGGUUGCUGUUGGUAUAGAGACUGAGCUGUUUCUCACUCCCCUGCUCUUUGAGAGCCUUGUGGAUGUCCAUUGCUUGGUUGAUAGACUCACAGAUGACCAGUGCUGCCCUUCCAUCUCGAUAGGAGGUUGGACGAGUCUGCUCCAAGACAGAGGAGCAAAUCCUCUCCCUCCACUUAUCCACAUUGCUCUCCAGCACCCCCUUGACCUCAGACAGCUUUUUCCGGUUGAAGGAUGGAAUCUCACAGGUGGAGAGGCCUGGGUAGAGCUCCUGCAGCAGAUCGAUCUCUGACUGUGUCCCCAAAGUCCCAGUGGUGCCGUACACCUGGCCCCCGUACUGCCUGAAGAAGGCCACGUUGGAGAGGUAGUUGGUAAUGAUGGACAUGCAGCUCAGCUUGGUUUGGUGUUUCAUCUCCAGGAACUGCUGCAGGCCAUUUCCCCACUUCUUGUUGCGCUCAACGAUACCGGUGCAGCUAUAAUCCACCGGGAGAAUUUGUUCCCCAUCUACUAUGUACUCCUGACCCUCCUGCACCUUGACGGCCAGGAAGGCAUUUUGAACCCAAACCCUUAGAUUCUUUUCCACCAGCUCUUUUAGGAACCCAGGGACUCUGGUUUUGUGUUUAUCUGCUCCACAUUGACAUUUAUCAUUCUUGUCUGGAUUACAUGCGCUAAACUGCAGCCGAUCUUUCACACCCUCCACAAUGGCGUCACAGAGGGUCUCCUCAUCCUCAUACAGAGCACAGCACAGGCCUUCAUCCAGAACCAAGAAAAAUACCUUGUGAUCAUUUUUUUCUCCCUCACUUUCCCUGUCAUUGUCUGAGUGAUGCAGCAGGGUUCCUCGCUGGUCUUGAGUGUAAGUGAUGAACUUAUAAAGUGAUGAACUUUUAAACCCCUUCUCAGGCAAGUGGAAAAACUGCAGCAUUGUGUCCUGGGACACUGUCUUUAAUUUCUCUGUUAGUUUCUUUGUAGAGUCACAGUCCUUGCAGAAGCCAUUGGGUAUCAACCCACUGUUCUCUGCCCGCUGUAAGAAUGUGAGUGGCUCCACACCAUCUUCAGUCUCCACAGAGUCAAACAGGGCUUUGUGAAAAGGCAGGACGGGGCCUCGGAUCAUGGUUCCCGUGCCUGUUGGCACCAGACCGUACUGGCUGACGAUACCCCAGAUCAUGGCCAGCACAAUAUUUAGGUGCUGCAUAGGAGCUACAUCAGUAGAGAGAUAGGUCAUCUGUACUCCCUUGUCUAACAGGAGAGAGUCCACCUCAUCCACAAUGACGCACUGAAAUCCACGGCCAGGCCUCACCUCCUUCAUUUCAAAGCUCUGGCGCAAGCAGUCUGCGGCAAAGCUCUCAGCCGUGCCAUAGACUACAUCACAACUGUAGCACCUCUUACGAUCCUCGUCUUUGUCUUUAUCCGUGUUGCAGUCGACAGAGACAUCAAAUAGGCUGUAGAAUGGACGCCAAUCAGCAGCAUCUCUCUUGGACAAAAUGGGAGAGCUGGAGAGCACAUCCACUCUCUCCCCUCGCAGAGCCCUGAAGGCUGUGAACAUGGCUACAACACAGGACUUCCCCUCACCUGUUCCAAGCUGCAGCAGCCUCCCUGAGACAGAGAGAGCCAGCAGACACCAGCUGACUAUCUGAGUUGUUCUGGGCCACCAGCCCUGUGUCUCAUACACAGCUUUGCAGAGAGCAAACAGGACUGCAGCCAGCUCCUCUCUCUUCAAAGUACAGUUUAGGGAGCCUUUGGAAAAUUUUGGGACCGUCCUAAUCUUGCAAGUCUGCCAAGACGCUAGAAUGCCCCUCACCUCUUGGAGUGUGGUCUCUGUGAUGCUUCUGUUUGAUUCACACAUUUCUUGGAGAAUGUCUUCCAGGCUCUUCUCACCCUCUGUGCUCAAGGAGUCUCUGAGCCGAGAAAUUAGGUGAGUGGUGGAGGCUUCAGAUUCUAGCAGCUGAGUCAAUGAGCAUCCAUCUCUGUCCCUGAAGCUGGGACAGACACAGUGGAUUUCCAGGGAAUGAAGCACUUUCAGGACCGAGGUGAAAAGGUUUUCCCCUUUUCUGAACUUUUUCACCAAGAAAAUGAAUAGGUCCAAAGCAUCUGCCGGAGCCCAUCGUCCACUCCUUACCAGGUCUGAUAGUUUGGAUAGAGAUUCUAUGCAGAGUUCCUCACUGCAAUUCUGUACUGCUGUGGCAGUCAGAAGCUCAUAGCACUUUUCCUUUGUCUGUGUGUCACAAGUAGACCUGAGGAAAGUUUCCAGGAACCUCAACAUGUACUGCUGAUACGGACAAAUGGCCUGCUUUGAGAAUUGCUGGAAAAUUGACGCCAUGUCCUCUCCAAAUGGUAGCUGGAUGUCUUUGGUGAGGGUUGAGAGUGUGUGGAGGAAUGUGUGCAUUAACUUGAAGCACUGAUCUGCAUUGUUUUUUGAGGUUGGCAUUAGAGAGUGCAGGAUAUCAGUCAGAUUAUGUGCAAGCUCUGAGCUUUGGGACAGCCUGGGGAAACAUAAUUCUCUGUUUGACAGAGGUUGUCCAAGAAUGAGGCAGUCAGGCAGAGGUGCCAAGCCUCUCCCUCUUGGACCAGAUCCAUGUUGGAGGAAGUCAUGUAUAAAACUCUCAAGGCUGCCACAGACAAUAUCCGACUCACAGUGCUGGGUUAAUGGGACAGUAGUGCUUGUUUGCACGUUAAUUCCAAGCAUCUGGUAGAAUGAAGACCAGUCCUGUGGCCUAUAGGAGGGAGAGCCCAGAACUAUACCCACCUGUCUGCCCUGAAAGACCAUCAGGGCUGCAUGCAUUACUGCCACACAGGGGUCUCUUUCCAGUGUGAGGAACUCAUCGUCGCUGUUAUUAAUGGCCAGGUUACACCAUCUGACCAUUUGAGCUACUGUGGGCCCCCUGCCCUGUGUGUGGAGCACUGCUCUGCUCAGGAUGGAAAGUAGUAUCUUCAGCUCUGUUUGCCCAAAUUUGGAGCCUCUCAAAGAGCCCCUGUAAAGGCUUUUGUGAGAUAUAACUGCAUUGACUUUAUCUUUAAUUUCACACUGAUUGUCUUUCAUUUCUUUGUGCACGGUAUUGAUCACACUCCACCGUCGUUCUGGCACCUGGGUAAGGAGGAACUCCAGGUUAUGUGUGCAUUCCUUCUGCAGCUCCUUGUCUAAACCAGAGUAAAAUGUGUUGAAAUCACAUGUUGACUCCAGCAGGGUGUUUAAUGAGUGGCCCUGCUUGUCUCUCCAGGAUGAGGGCAGAUUGUGCCGUUCCACCAGGUCUAGGACACAGAGCGCACCACUAGGGCUCACCCUAUUCUGUGCUAAACUCCCUAUUAAGUCCAGUGCCUCCAGGGAUGUCCAGUUAACAUCCAAAAGUGCCAGUACUGCUGGAGACAGAGCAGCAAAGGAAUCGGUUUCUGUAAGUGGCCACUGCCCUAUAGCAUCUAGUAUCAGCUCCAGACACUUCUCCUGGACACCCAAAACUGGGCCUGUUUCCUUUUCCAGGGCUCUGAGGAGGAGCUCCAGAAACUUGGCAAGGAAGAGCUGCUCCAAGGAGAUGUCUUCCUGACUCCAUUCAUUAGCCACAGAGAAGACACUCAGCUGGGAAUCAGGCCUGUCCUCAAAGAGAUUAGUGAAAGUCAAGAACAGGGCCUGUGUGAAGUUGAGAUAUUGCCACUCCUCUUCCUCAACUACUGCCACCGUCACUGCAUAUCCCACUGUCUGUACUGCCAGCUGCAGCUGGUCAGCAGCACACUCCAGAGAGGCAUCGCUGUGAGUGUCCAGCGCCAUCACACAAAGCUCUGCGAGCAGGACCUGAGUGUGAGUCAGUGUGUCCAUCGGGGGUGGCUGCUCCUCCCAUUCCUGGAACAGGAGCUCCCGGAGAGAGCGAGAAAGGGACAGGACCUGCUGGGGUCGGAGUCUUCGGAGAUCUAUGUCUCCCUCAGGGAUUCCACACUUUUGAGACAGGAUGCUGAGUAAUCCUCUGUCUGGCUGUCUGCUCUCUGGGGAGCGGCACUGUGACUGGAAUGUCUCUGUGACCACUGUGGUUUCACGCCUCUCCUCCUCUGCUCUCCUCUCAUUUCUCCUCUUUUCCUGCAACUCAGUCUGAGUCUUUUCCAGACUAAACCCCACUUCCCUUAUUCUCCUCUCCUCCUCCUGCUUCUCUCUUCUCUCCUCCUCCAUCUGUCUCUUCUCCUCCUCCAUUAAUCUUUUCUCCUCCUUUCUCCUUCUCUCCUCCUCUUGUCUCCUUUUCCUUUCUUCCUCCUCCCUCAGUCUUGUCUCCUCCUCCUCUCUCCGUCUCCUCUCUUGUCUCCUUUUCCUCUCCUCUUCCUCCCUCAUUUGCUCUUCUUCUGCAUCCUGCUUUCUCCUGUAACACUGCUUGCAUAAGUUUAAAUUCCUUUCUUUAAGCCUAGCUACCAGGUUCCAUCCAAAAUCCAAACCAAAAACAAGUUUGAUAAGAAAAGUCAAAAAGUCAAUAUCUAUUGUUCUCCCACACUCUCUGCACAGUACAAUUUCAAGUGCAGCUCCCAUACUGGCAUGGGUCCUCUGUGACUGAAGAGAUGAUCGGAAACCUGGAAGACAAAAAACAUAUUUAUUAACAUAUACAGGUGCUGGUCAUAUAAUUAGAAUAU
ensembl:lncRNA